UACGUAGGGUGCAAGCGUUGUUCGGAAUUACUGGGCGUAAAGCGCGUGUAGGCGGCUCGUUAAGUCUGGUGUGAAAGCCCUGAGCUCAACUCAGGAAUUGCAUCGGAAACUAGCAAGCUGGAGUUCGGGAGAGGGUAGUGGAAUUCCUGGUGUAGAGGUGAAAUGCGUAGAUAUCAGGAGGAACACCGGUGGCGAAGGCGGCUACCUGGACCGAUACUGACGCUGAGACACGAAAGCGUGGGGAGCAAACAGG
rnacentral:rRNA from 1 species